rnacentral:lncRNA from 1 species
CAGAAACAGGCUGACUCACUGCCUGAUAGUCAGCAGCAGAAGGGCACAGUGAAAUGUCCAUGGCGGCCGGGAAACCUUCAACCCGCGACCAAUGCAUUUUCGCCAGUGAGAUCGUUUUCAAGGUCGUACAAGGUACUCGUUCAGGAGAGACAGCCGGAAUGUCAAAAGCUCCACCAAAGAAAAAGAUUAUGCAGUUCAGUAACAUUCAGAGCAUCAUCGACUGCACAGAGCCCAAUGAGCACCUGCUCUGCAGUGAGGUCUCUGUUCCUUCGUGUUUUCCAUUAUCUCUCUCCCCAGCUCUUCAGGUGGAUAGUGAGUGAGAUUUACAUAGUGUGGAAGAUCUGUAAUGGACGUCAGUAGAGCAGGGGUCUGACGUCUGGAAGCCUUGGGAACACAUCUACUCACUGUGUAAGGUGGUCAAGGGCCACAAGCCUCUCUAUAACGUCUAUGGGAAGAAUGCGGUCAAACUAUACUGGAUGAUGUUUGAAUUUACCCUCAUGUUCAUACCAUGUUAAAUGAUGGAACGUCCCCAUACCCGAAGACAUCCUCGCUGCUUCUGAACUCCGCCGGUCAGCUAAUUUCCACCGGGGCAACUGGGAGAAAAAGACAAUCCAUAAUUCAUUUCAGUGGGCUGCACAUAGAAUGGAGGACGCAGUUGCAGGCAGCCUUAUCCACUCAGGCACGAAUCAAUCAGUCUCGCAGCUGUGCUAAUGCGAAGGGGCUUCGCACGUCGACUGAUGAAUAGAUAGGGCUUUACAGGAGUUAUCAGCCUCGGGAUAUUACCUUUAAGACAGCAAGGUGGUGGCACUCCGAGUCUUGCUAUGGGGCGUCCUGAAUUGGAUCAUUCCAAAGCAGUGUCAGUAGUCAAUAAGGUAUGACGACACAUAGGCCUUCCACACACACUGUUUGCUCUGUGUUAGGUCUGUGACGGAACUCACUUCUGUCAGACUGCAUUUGCAAAUGGUAUUUAGGAAUAUGGUAAUCUAUUUCCUGUACUUGUGUUGUGGUGAAGAAAGGCCUAUUGCAUUCUCAUCAAAUUGUUGGAUGUUCGAUGUGAAGUAGAUGUUUCUGAAAAUGAAAACACUGGACUAUGUCAAUGCUCAAACACAGUAAUAACAGAGAGAUUGUGAGAUAUAGAUAUAGGAAGAAAGAACCUAACAGUUAAACUCACUGACACACAUGACAAGAUUGGAAGUAGCAGCUCCCGUGGCAACACUGACAUGCCAACAGAUGGAUAUGGAGACACAAAACGGCCUAGGGUACUUUCUCUUUCUCCCCCUCUGUCCUUUUUCAUCUUUCUCUCUUCCUCUCUCUCUCUCUCUCUUUCUAUAUAUAUACACAG